UGCUGAGCAGAGCAGAGGGAGAUGCGGGGAAGUAUGUAUAAAUCCUUCUCGCCGGAUCUCCCGAAAAGUAUUUGCCCUUUUUGCAACCGAAGAUUAAUGCAAAGGCGACAUCUUAUAAGCCCAGAGAAAGAAAGAGGAUAAAGCAAAAGAGACACGAAGUCGUCUUCUCCGACUAGCCCGUGGAUUUCCUCGCCGUUAAUCCCGAAGGUACAACAAAUGACAUUCUGGAACAAUUUUUUGAGAACUAGCAGACUGGACAUAUUAGUGUCCGGAAUGCUUUAUGCCUGAAGUUCAAUGCUUUGGAAUUAUAUCAGUUACUUUGGUCGUUGAUGUGGCCUUUGCAUCUUCUCCUUAACAAAUUUCUGAAAGCGGAAGAAGAAAAAGACCAAGGAUCAGAUGGAUGUCCCUUAACUGAGGCUGAAGCCUGCCCAGUUGGAGAUUUAUUGAGUAAUAAAAGGUGCAAUGAUGCUGUCUUACCUGAGUCAUAUCUUGUUGAAGUACCACUCAUAAGCCAACAACACUCAUGGGAUUGUGGUCUUGCUUGUGUUUUGAUGGUUCUGAGAACUCUGGGCAUCCUUAACUGUAACAUGCAGGAUCUGGAGGAGCUCUGCUGCACGACUAGCAUUUGGACUGUUGAUCUAGCAUACCUGCUGCAGAAAUUUUCUGUUAGUUUUUCCUACUUCACAGUUACUUUAGGAGCAAACCCUAAUUUUUCUGUGGAAACUUUUUAUAAGGAGCAACUGCCAAAUGAUCUAGUGCGAGUGGAUAUGCUAUUCCAGAAAGCAAUGGAAACUGGAAUUAGUAUACAGUGCAAGUCAAUCAGUAAAGAAGAAAUUUCUCUGUUGAUUUUGUCAGGAAAAUACGUUGCUAUUGCUUUAGUUGACCAGUAUAAGCUAAGUCGGUCUUGGCUAGAGGAAGUUUGUGUUUCAGGCUUCAACAGUGGCAACUCAGGUUAUAGUGGUCACUAUGUUGUAAUAUGUGGUUAUGAUGCCAUGACAGAUGAGUUUGAGAUCAGAGAUCCAGCAAGCUCUAGAGAACAUGAGAAGAUCACAUCAAACCGCCUAGAAGAAGCUCGGAAAUCUUUUGGAACUGAUGAGGAUCUUCUCUUGGUAUCAUUGCAAGAGAGCCAGAAUCAAGAAAGACAGUCCAUCGGCUACUAUUUAUACCGAAACUUCUGUCUCAUUGUUAAAGACAAGACUUUUUGGACACUGCACGAGCGUUCGCGGAACCUGCUUGUUGAAUCCCCCCGGAUGGGGCAAGACUGGGGAUGGGGCCUUUAAGUGAAUGUGGUGAUGGCCGACUUGAAACUCUGCAAUGGAUGGUUGGAAGGGGUGGGCGCUGUCUCCUAGGGUUCCAUUCCAUUUCAAGUCUUAAAGAUAUUGGUACCCAAAAAUACUGCGGCAGCAAUGUUGAUUUGAACAGCAUGCCUCUUGUCUUUUCUGUCUCUGUCACUGUCUCUCUUUUUUCAAUCAAACGUAGAAGUGGGCAGUUGAAUCAUUCUCAUCUUCAUUCUCCCUCCCUUCUAAUCACGCUAUCUUGUCUCUCCAAUCCAUACCCCAUUCAUCUAUAUAGCCUAGCCGCCGGGCUACUCCACACCAUAGAUACGCCAGAUUACAACUCCACAUUUUCUACUCAUAAUCGUCUUCCAAAUCAGUUUUUAUAUAAAAAAAUACAGGUGGGUUUUCGUUUUUAGGUUUUGUAUUUAAUGGAUCCAAUAUCCAAUCCAUGUUGAUUUUUUGGUUUUGUUCUUAAUGUGAUCCAAGAUCCAAUAUGUUUAAUCAACUCUUAUUUGUAUAUAUAAUUUAAAAAAAAAAAGACUCUUAAUUUAUAUAUACAUUUCUUUCCUUCUUCCCUUCACUUUUUAAUUCUAU